GGAGGGAUGGCUCAGUGGUUAAGAGCACUAUUGGCUCUUCCAGAGGAUCUGGGUUCAACUCCCAGCACCUACA
rnacentral:tRNA from 1 species